rnacentral:misc_RNA from 1 species
AAAAACAGGAGUGAAAAAGAAAGCAAUAUUUUCUAUAUUGCUGGAAAAUGAGCUUAUAGAAAGUAGACAAUCUCCAGAUUUGCCAAUUUUCAAUCUACGCACUAUAUCCGCUGCCACUAACAAUUUUAGUCCGGCUAACAAACUUGGACAGGGUGGUUUUGGCUCAGUGUAUAAGGGUCGGCUGCACAAUGGGCAAGAGAUUGCUGUAAAAAGAUUAUCCCAGAGUUCAGGCCAAGGGAUUGAAGAAUUCAAAAAUGAAGUCGCAUUAAUUGCGAGGCUUCAACACAGGAAUCUUGUAAAACUUCUAGGGUGCUGCAUUCACAGAG